UACGAAGGGGGCUAGCGUUGCUCGGAAUGACUGGGCGUAAAGGGCGCGUAGGCGGCGCAUUUAGUCAGGCGUGAAAUUCCUGGGCUCAACCUGGGGACUGCGCUUGAUACGGGUGUGCUUGAGGAUGGAAGAGGCUCGCGGAAUUCCCAGUGUAGAGGUGAAAUUCGUAGAUAUUGGGAAGAACACCGGUGGCGAAGGCGGCGAGCUGGUCCAUUACUGACGCUGAGGCGCGACAGCGUGGGGAGCAAACAGG
rnacentral:rRNA from 1 species